rnacentral:tmRNA from 1 species
GGGGGUACGUUGGUUUUGAUACUUAAAUAAAUGGUUAGUCGUCAGUCAGAGGAUUAGGUAGGCUCUGUAAAAAACCUAAUAAAUAUAAAAGCAGAAAAAACAGACAAUGUUUUACACUACGAUUUUAAAAAUUACAAUAAAAAAGUUAAGUUGUAUGCUUAAAACCUUAAUUAAAGUUUAAGAACUAAAGCGUCUUCUUACAUGUAAAGCAUCCCACUCGUUUGUAUAUAAAGCUUUACGUGUAUACUUAUAAAAUACCAAACAUAAGCUGUAUAAAACUACUGUUUAUAUAAGUAGAAACGGGUUCGAAUCCCGUUACCUCCAUUA